UAUUUCCAUCCAGCGUAGAUUUAGAUCUAGAUCUGAAGAGAGGUGCCGUCCGUGUUAUCAUCAGAUCAUCCCCUCUCUCCCUUGACUUCGAUUCCUUCAGCAACCGCGGACGGCAUCCGAAACAAGCCGCCACCACAAAGCAGGUCUUGCUCGAAGCUUCUCCAGGAGAUCCACAGAACUAACAAUCCCCUAUGUCCAGAUGGGGUAGAUGUCCGGGGCAAAUGAUCUGGAGAGCGGCAGAACCGGCGACCUGAGAAGAGUAAAACGUCUGUUCUCCAGCAUCCUUUUGUUUCAGUUGGUCCAGACACUUCCGCUUCCCUUAAUUUCCUGCUCCCAGUUUUAAGGCGUAAAUUUGGCGAUGCUGCUAGGGGAGCGUUAGAGCUUGU